AUGGGAGACAUGAAUGACAUUCUCUAUGAUAUGGACAAAAGUACUCCCUAUGUUAAUACUAAUCGUAUGAAUGCUUUCCGCAAUCUUGUGAAGUCUUGUGGUUUGAUUGAUCUUGGUUAUAGUGGGCCUGCUUAUACCUGGACUAACAAAUGUUUUUCCACUAAUCCAACUUAUGAAAGACUUGAUAGAUGUUUGGUGAAUGCUGAGUGGUGUGCUCUUUAUCCGAAUACAAAUGUCUAUAAUCUUCCUAUUACUCUGAGUGAUCAUUCUCCCAUACUUAUUUCUACUGAUGGUAAAUUUCGAAAACCUAUACAAACAUUCAAAUUUGAAAAUUGGUGGAUCAUGGAAAGGGAUUUU
rnacentral:rRNA from 1 species